rnacentral:rRNA from 1 species
UACGGGGGGAGCAAGCGUUGUUCGGAUUUACUGGGCGUAAAGGGCGCGUAGGCGGCCAGCACAAGUCAGUUGUGAAAUCUCCGAGCUUAACUCGGAAAGGUCAACUGAUACUGUGCGGCUAGAGUGCGGAAGGGGCAACUGGAAUUCUUGGUGUAGCGGUGAAAUGCGUAGAUAUCAAAGAGGAACACCUGCGGCGAAGGCGGGUUGCUGGGCUGAUACUGACGCUGAGGCGCGAAAGCCAGGGGGAGCGAACGGG